rfam:Schistosoma haematobium scaffold57_21, whole genome shotgun sequence.
AUUGAUCAGACGAGUCCCAAAUAGGACGAAACGCGCGUCCUGGAC